GCACAAGCGGUGGAUGAUGUGGAUUAAUUCGAUGCAACGCGAAAACCUUACCUACCCUUGACAUGUCUGGAACCUUGGUGAGAGCCGAGGGUGCUUCGGAGCCAGAACACAGGUGCUGCAUGGCUGUCGUCAGCUCGUGUCGUGAGAUGUUGGGUUAAGUCCCGCAACGAGCGCAACCCUUGUCACUAGUUGCCAUCAUUUAGUUGGGCACUCUAGUGAGACUGCCGGUGACAAACCGGAGGAAGGUGGGGAUGACGUCAAGUCCUCAUGGCCCUUAUGGGUAGGGCUUCACACGUAAUACAAUGGUCGGUACAGAGGGUUGCCAACCCGCGAGGGGGAGCCAAUCCCAGAAAACCGAUCGUAGUCCGGAUUGCAGUCUGCAACUCGACUGCAUGAAGUCGGAAUCGCUAGUAAUCGCGGAUCAGCAUGUCGCGGUGAAUACGUUCCCGGGCCUU
rnacentral:rRNA from 1 species